CAGUAGCCGCGGGAAUACGUAGGUGGCAAGCGUUGUCCGGAAUUAUUGGGCGUAAAGGGCUCGCAGGCGGUUUCUUAAGUCUGAUGCGAAAGCCCCCGGCUCAACCGGGGAGGGUCAUUGGAAACUGGGAAACUUGAGUGCAGAAGAGGAGAGUGGAAUUCCACGUGUAGCGGUGAAAUGCGUAGAGAUGUGGAGGAACACCAGUGGCGAAGGCGACUCUCUGGUCUGUAACUGACGCUGAGGAGCGAAAGCGUGGGGAGCGAACAGGAUUAGAUACCCCCGUAGUCCCUGUCUCUUAUAC
rnacentral:rRNA from 1 species